UGAAAGAAUUCAACCACUCAUGCCUUCUUUCAGUCAAAGUGCGAAGUUUCUCAUGACACCAGUGAGUCUCCGCAUUUGAUAAGGACAAAACUGAUACUUUUAUAGGGAAAAAGACUGUGGGAAGAUCUGGAUGGGAUCUAGGUGUGGUUCCAGAUAUCUCAAACAGAUGCUAUCAGUCAGGGUUUCCAACUGUAGUUGCCCCAGGGUUGUUGUGAAGCAGGUGUCUCAUAUGAACUAUUAUUAAAAUCUUCUAAAAGCUGAUAUUGAAACCUCAAAGUGCCACAUUGAGAAUAGAUUACUACAAGA